rnacentral:lncRNA from 1 species
GCAGGAUUAAAGGCAUGUACCACCACCAGGCUAAUAAAUGUAAUUUUAAUAAUUGAUUUUUUUAUUUAUGUGUAUGUGUGCCUGCUUAUCUGUAUAUGCACCAUAUGCUGCAAGUACCCUCAGAGGCCAGAAGAUAGGCUGGAUCCCUGGAGCUGGAGUUACAGGCUGUUGUGAACGUCCCUAUACAUCCCAAGAGUCCCACAGUCUUGAGCCACCUCCUCUCAGAAGAAUUGUGAACUUCAAAGGGAAAAUGGUAGCUUCUUACUGGGGAGCUCUGGCAGAAGCCACACAGUGAAGAGUGGAGCAUCACCAGCCAUGAGCAGCGCAUCUGCUGGCAGCUCCUGACAGCGUGGACGGGGACAGGCACACACCACCCACGAAGCGUGGUGGAGGAAGUAAGCCUGCACCAUGGGUUAGGCGACAAUCACACCUCAGCUGGGAGAUGGAGACAAGCAAGCAGCUUUAGUGUUGGUACGUAGGAGGAGGAAUGAUCAGGGUCACCAGGGGCAAGCAGGCAGGGAGUGCACUCUAGAGGACAAGGCUGUGGAAACCCUACACAGAGUAGAGUGCCCGAGUCUUGAGUGUAUGCGGGAACAGGAAAGCUGUGCUAUAAGUGACACUCGAGGUCCAUCUGAAGAAGUGUGAGAACAGAUGGCGUCCUAGAUGGUAUCACAGCUCUCAGAUGUGAAGCUGGUCCUGGGCCAGCUGGGAAUAUUGGAGUAUCUUGGUGACUGCAAAUUUACAAAUAAGUUGACAAAAUAAGCACACACAUUCACACACACACACACACACACACACACUCACGCAAACACACUCACGCACACAAGUGCAGGAAAGGAUGUUCAUCUGUAUAUUUAUUUAUUUUGGUGUGUUUGUGUGAGGGGGUGUAUCUUAGGGUUUCUAUUCCUGCACAAACAUCAUAACCAAGAAGCAGGCUGGGGAGGGAAGGGUUUAUUCAGCUUACACUUCCACAUUGCUGUUCAUCACCAAAGGAAGUCAGGACUGGAACUCAAGCAGAUCAGGAAGCAGGAGCUGAUACAGAGGCCAUGGAGGGAUGUUACUUACUGCUUUGCUUUGGGGAUUACAGUUAAGUGAUUGGAUAAAUCUCAGAAGAAACUUUGAACUUUGGACUUUUAACAUUGUUGAGACUGCUAUUGACUAUGGGGACUUUUGAAGUUGGACUAAAUGUAUUUUUGCAUUGUGUUAUAUUUAGGUAUGGCCCCCAUAGACUCAUAUGUUUGGGCAAGCCUAUGGGGGCCAGGGAGUGGAAUGUGAUGGUUUGUAUAUGCUCAGCCCAGGGAGUGGCAUUAUUAGAAGGUGUGGCCUUGUUGGGGUAUGUGUGUCACUAUGGGUGUGGGCUUUAAGACCCUCAUCCUAGCUGCCUGGAAGCCAGUCUUCUAGUAGCCUUCAGAUGAAGAUGUAGAACUCUCAGCUCUGCUGCACCACACCUGCCUGGAUGCUGCCAUGCUCCCG